rnacentral:rRNA from 1 species
AUGGAGCCCUGCCGCCACAUCGACCCCUCCAGGAGGCCGAGGAACAGCCACAAGGUGGUCAUCGAAACGCCUGCGAUGGAGCACCAGAUCGCCUUCCUCCGCCGUCAUGCUGUCCUCCUAACCGCGGUGGCGGAGAGGCACGCGGCCAACCCCAUGACGAUGGGCCGCACCUUCGACGCUGCGCUGCGCACCCCUGCCCACCUGCUGCGGGUCACGAUCCACGACCCGGAGGACUUCCUCGUGCUCUUCGAGCUGCCGGCCCACCACGACAAUGCCGUGCGCCUCGGCUCCCUCAACGUCGAUGGCGUCGUCUUCUCCAUCAAGCCGUGGCACGAAGACGAUCACGCAAUGCACCAGGACUUCAUGCUGCACGUCCGGGUGGUGAUCGAAAAGAUGCCGCUGCAGAUGUGGUCCGUGGAGGGCGCGGCCGAGGUCCUCGGCGUCAACUGCAUCAUCGACCGCCUCAACACCCACACGCACGAGCGCGGCCACACGCGGACCUUCGCGUGCUGGGUCUGGGUCUGGGAUGUAGCCUUCAUCGCCACCAAGCACACCAUCUGGCGGGCGGCGCGGGGCGCGUUGAGACCAUGCUCGGCGCCUCCCCCCAAGCCGCGAGGUGCCUCCUCCCCCCGCGUCAAGCAGCAUCAGCUUCUCAUCCACGUCGACCGCGUCGAGGACUGGUCCACCCCCUCGCCGUGCUCCUCGCACUUCGCCCAGAGCGUCCUUCCCUCCUCGGGGUCCGACGACGAGCGCUCCGACCCGACGGUGUGGACCGGCAUGUGGGCGAUGCACGUGGAGGAUGGCCAAGGCCAGGCCAGGCGGCACCCGGCGGUCGUCGCUCCGUCUGGCUGCGGCAGCCUGCAGCUCGGCCCCCGCUGCAACAAUGACGACCAAGAUGGUGAGUGGAGGCGCCGCUCCUGGAAGGACACCCUCCUGGGAAGGCCGCAGGGAGGGCGUGAGCCGCUGCCCAGGCGCGGCCCCACAGCCCCGCCCAGGCAGCGGAGCAGGACGCCUGUCAGCCGGCGCCACCACUAG